CAACUCCUUAAGGCAAACACAUAUCUGUGGAUUCUAUAUAUGGCCAAGCAGUGAAAACCACCGGAUGACUCUCCCAGUAGUCAUGUAGGAAAGGGAGCCUCAUGCCACCCAUCAACAGCAAGCAAAGUGGCUUCAUCCACUCCUGUUCUCAGCGACUAUUUGCUAACCACUGCACAGCAGGCUCUAUUUAAAGAGCAGAGAACCACUCAGAUGGGCCAGACACCUGCUCCCAUGAGCAAGGUCCUAGCACAGACCUGAGGCUCAUGGAUUGUGAGUUGAUGUGAGGAGGACUUACCACACUCUAUUGAGCCUCUCUGCUGGGACACACAUGGAAGAAGUUGAUGAGAGUGGUCUUGACUCCAGUUUAAAAAUGUCAGCAUCACUCAGGAGAAACCAUCAGGGCUAUAGAACAUGGUAUUCUGAAGUCAGAAAGGACUGAGUGGGCUGGACAUCCAGUAAUAGAGAACCUGCUGCAGAGAGGAAUGAAGGGUACCAGAGAUCAAACGGAUGGAAGGAGUGGACCACACUCAGGGAGGUCCCACUUCCUCCCCAUCCCUCUACAGUCACUCUCAUGACUGUGGGCAAUGACCUCUUACUUACAGAAACAGGUCCCUGGCUUCACUGGGCCCAUAGGCCAUAGUUUAUGGACAGGCUUUGGUCUAUGACAUUAGUAGAAAAAAACAUCAUGGUUCGAAGAGUACACACCUCUGUCACAUGCUUUGGCAGCCCUCACAUGUACAUGCGGCAAUGUCUUUCAGAAAAGGGAGUUCUCUAUCAGGUUUCCAACGGGGAGGCUUACGGAAAUUCAGGAGGUCUGUGACGCCUUUAAAAUUAUAAGCAAA
rnacentral:lncRNA from 1 species